rnacentral:misc_RNA from 1 species
CUGAUCACUGCCAUAGAUAUAAAAACCAGAACAAUUUAGUAUGGCUGGAGAAGUGAUAAUUAGAACCAUAAACACUUUUGCAGAAACAUCCACUUGCAACCAUUUGAAUGGUUAUUUCGCCAGUAAAGCAUCAAAGCGGAAAGUUUAAAUUCCUCAAACCAACUGAUCAAGCAUUUCAUCCACAGUGCUGUACUUGACAUCUGGAUAUAACUCAGAAGCCUCAACCCCCCAUGAGGGAUCAAUCUCAAAGUUCGUCUGAUCACCCUUAAUAAAGGCAGAGUGAUUGAUUGCAAGACCAACAUUAAAAGGAACUGGAGCAGCUGCAAGAAUGGAUUAAAUAAAAAAAACAAACAUAAAAUUUAGCAACUGCAAGGAAUCUUUCCAAUACAUGUUGAAGUGCACUUGUUUCUAUAAGAAAAGAAAUUCUCUUAUGUCAAAGUACCUUGGAUAUCCUUAAGAAGCUGCUCUUCUGGAACAUAACUUUUCUCCAGGGUCUUGCCCACCUUCUUCUCCCACAGAGCAACAAG